GAUAAACGCUGGCGGCGUGCCUAAUACAUGCAAGUCGAACGAGGUGCUUUUGUAGCAAUACGAGGGCAUCCUAGCGGCGAACGGGUGAGUAAAGCGUAGGUGACCUGCCCCGAAGUGUGGGAUAACAGUCCGAAAGGAUUGCUAAUACGGCAUGUGGUACCCGGGUUUAGAAACCGGUGACUUAAGUCGCAAGACGCUUUGGGUAGGACCUGCGUCCCAUCAGCCAGUUGGUGAGGUAACGGCCCAACAAGGCUACGACGGGUAGGGGGGCUGAGAGGGUGGCACCCCACAAUGGAACUGAAACACGGUCCAUACACCUACGGGUGGCAGCAGUAGGGAAUAUUGCACAAUGGGCGAAAGCCUGAUGCAGCAACGCCGCGUGCGCGAAGAAGGCCUUCGGGUCGUAAAGCGCUUUUCUGGGAGAUGAGAAAGGACAGUAUCCCAGGAAUAAGUCUCGGCUAACUACGUGCCAGCCGCCGCGGUAACAC
rnacentral:rRNA from 1 species